CCACAUUUUGAAGUUUUGUCAAAAUCCAAUUUAUUAAGAUCAAGAUCAUGCUGAAAAAUACCCAAAUCCCAUACAUGGUACGGUUCAGAGAUGUGGUAAGGUUCUUUUUCUCUUAUUAAACAAAAGCCCUCAUUUAAGCACAUACCACGUAUCAAUAAUCAAAGCAAUCAAAACCAAACAAAAUGCCACAUCAUCAUCUACUCACAGAAACUUAUAUUAAUCCAAGUUGGUUCACAGAAAAAAUCUAGCAAAGUGAGUUUUCAGGAGUGAAAAUUGGGUCUUCACAGAACAUACACUUUGACCACACUUGAUUUUCACUGCCUGAAGAUAUUACUGACGGUCUUCGUUGGUGAGGGGGUCAUUGACGGUGAUCGUCGAGUGCUUAACGUUGGAGGAUUCGAAUGACAGAGGGCUGUUAUAAUUCGUCGGUUCAAAUGACAGACAGGAGUUAGUUCGCCAAAUGCUUUCCGUCUUCGUCUCCGAUGAACUUCAUCACGGUAAUCGUCGAUUGAGUAAGCUCUGGACGGUUCAGUGAAUGAGAGAGGGGAGAGGGUUUCAUACUGUUUGGGCCUAAUGUAAGAGAGAGGAAU
rnacentral:lncRNA from 1 species